rnacentral:tRNA from 1 species
GCGAUCAGGGGUCUCGGAGGGUGCCAUUUAUUGCAUGGCAUGCAGGGGGUCAGCGGUUCGAAUCCGCUUGGCUCCA